GGGUUUUUUUCAGUAGUUCACCUCUGCUGGUGUUCUGUGAGUGAGCGCAGGAUUGGGGUUGCUGAUGUAUGGGGCACCUGGUGUGGAUAUGAAGACAGUGUCUGGUGCUACAUGUGAAGGCAUGACUGAGCCAAAAAUUGAAGGAUUUAAAGAAGACAAGAAUGACAACUUCAGAUUGUGAGAUGAGAAGCAGACAAAAAGAAGGAAGAAAACACAAGAAUGAUUGGACUUUCAGCGUAUCACCUUCCAAAUGAUCUCUGCACAAAGGGACUUUAUUCAAUUCAUUGUUCUCUGGAAAUCAGAUUGUAUUGUAUUUGCAGAACAAUAGAUCACUGUCUGCGUAAUAAGAUUUCCCUUCCUACAAAAUAAUGGUGAGGUGGAGAAGGGGCGAGAAAUUAAAAAUGAAGCUUCUUUAAAGUUAUAGAAAACUUCCAGAUCACAUAUUGAAAGUAUUACUGGUCUGCAUUUGAAUUAAAAACUGUGGAUUCUUCAAACUCCUUUGUGUUCCUCAGUAUCUGGCUGUGGAGAAUGCACCACUGUCAAGUUUCUCUGUGUGGUCCCAGCUCACCGUUUAUCCCCUGAUCUGUUGGAUGUGGAGCAGUAACAUCUCAAAAUGACAGUCACAUCAUGUUGGAUAAAAGAAAGAAACCAGAGAAGUCAUAAUUCACUUCGGCACUAAGUCAGCAGCAAGCAGCAGCAUUGCUGUGGAAUCCAAUCAAGUUAUUUCUACUUAUUUACUUACUGACUUCUGCUUUUGGGGAUCAAGACUUGCUAACUUUGAAGCCUGAGUUCAGUUGAAUGAAGAAGACCGCUUUUUAUGCUUUGUUCUGCGUUCAAGAUUUGAGCAAGAUCAUUGACUAAACAUACAUAAAUCACUGGCUUCAACCAACAACUUUUCUGACAACUGCUUCUGGCAGUCCACUAGUCUUUGUUUCAUGAUGGUAAUUAUCUGCCCAAAUUCUUCAAGAGUCUUCAAGCUGCUCUUUUCAAUAUACAGUGUCAUAAUGUUGCCACAUGGAUCACAGAAAGGAAUUAUAAAAAACUGAAUUAUGAUGUCGUAAUAUGAACUGUGACUUCAAAAUGGACAUCUUUCUGAGUUUGAAAAGAAUAGAGAUAUGCAGUGUAUUAUCACAGGCUAGAAGAACUGCAGUAAAAAUUAUUAGAGGAUUCUGACAAAGAAAACUUCACAGAAGUUAUCCGAAUGUGUUACUUGUAUUCUUUCAUCUUUGACGAUUUCUUCAAGUCUUAUGGCUACAGAAAUAACUUCAAUGGCUAUAUUUUUAAAACAAAAACUGAAAAUAAGCCUGAAAACAUCAAUAAAAAGCUUCUGACAGAAGGUCAUUAUGAGGAACUAUGCAAAGUGUUCUGAAUGAACAUCCUAUGAGGAAUUUGAGAAAACAGUGCUUUGAUGUAUGUAUAUAUUUAUAUUCAAAACCAGAGUCAUCCUGCUUUAAGUACAUCUGAUUGGAGAGUAUUAAAAAUUGGAAAGCUGAAAAUGGGACAUUAUGAUGUUACUGGACCUCUGAGAGAUAGCAAUUUGCCAAAGAUGACAGUGAAUUAUAUAGCAAGGUGACUGGUAUCAUCAGAAGGAGGACCAACCAACACAAAACUGUGAACCAGCACAUGAAACUAUGAGAGCAACCACACAGCAAGAAAUAAGUGGAAGGGUUUUAUGCUGUCUGUGGAUAUGGAUAGCUUAUAUACAUGGCUUUGCAAAAGCAGUUUGCUGGAAGAGGACAUUAUUAGAGACUAAGUCUGGAACUGCUAACUGAUGGAUAAAAUAGGUUUAUGUUGUAUUAUUUAUUUGGAAAAUCUGCCACCAGUUUCCAUGGAUGCUUGGAGAUCUAAAAAGGUGAAUAAAUUAUAAAUAUUUAAAAUUUGCCACAAAUAGCAUAUAUUGCAAACUCCAAAGAUACGGAGAAGAAUCAUCUUGUAGGCAUUGUUAAGUCCAGUGCUUAGAGGAGAGGAUCUGCAAGGAGGAAAAGAGUAAUUCAGUUAUCACAUGGACGUGGAGAGCUUUGCAGUGUUCAUGAGAGUAAGAGAGCAUAGGGAGCCUAUUAGCUUAAUGUGGAACCUGGUACACUAUACCCACCUCUACCCAUAUGAAAAGCUAUGUUUGCAGAUGUUACCAAUAUUUCUUAUAUGCCAAACUUUGCUGGCUUGCGAAUUACAAGAUGUUCAUCAUUUAUCAUAUCUUUAAGACUGCUCUUAUGGUCUGUCACUAUAGCAACUCAGUUGGCUUCUGCAGCAACACCUGGUCCUAUCAGUAGCUAUAUACUGUGGAGGUUUCCUCAUAAAUAAUCCAUGUGAAAGUGAAUGUAGCUGUCAUGUUAAUUUGUGGGUAACCUGGUUCUGGCAAGUUUAUAAUUAUAUUUAUGAAGCAAAUAAAGCAGAUUGUUUUUCUUCAGCAGUGACUUAACACAAACUGACAGAAACAAAUAAAUAAGUUUUACUAAUCACAGUUGAGGUAAAAGAAAUGUCACAGGAAUGUUCUAUUUGCCAUCUCGCAAAUAUAGUCCUAAAUAUGGCCUACUGUCUGUAUGGCCUCCACUCCAUAAGAAGUGUGUUACUCUUUAGGAAAUGUGUUUAGCUUCAAAGCAAAUAUCAUAUACAAGUUUUACUUAAAUUCAUUUUUUUCCCCUUCUGACCUUCAACUUUUUUCUAAUCUUUUCCACCCUGCUCUUGUUUCAUCCCUUACAGCUGGAGAUAGCAUUCACAAAUGACAGAAUAAUAGUUAUGUUUAAGAAUAUUACUGUAGGUUGAGAAAGACACGUUGUACUUAAGCUUCUUGUUCACCAUUGAAACUAACUGUGGAUGAUAGCAAAUUGAGAACUGGCGGCUCCUUUGAGUUCCAAGUGUCUCCUCUCCAGAUUUGUUCUUCAUUUUGUGGCAGACCUUUUCACAUCAAAAAGAAUUGCUAACCUUAGAAAGAGUCUAACAUUGUGAAUUGUGCUAUGCUUUUUCAUUACCUUUGGUAGUUGAAUAUGUUGGUGGAAGGUAGUUGGAGUGGUAGAAGAGCCUUCAUUUCUUACCUUCCGUUGCUUCAACAGACAUUUCAGCUAGAAAUUGCAAUAUUUCUGUAUAGAGUAGUAGGAAAUAAUCUUAGACUGAAAAUGAACUGUUAGAGAAACUACAAGGAAAAAGUGCCCACAGGACAUAAUGU